AGCGAACGCUGGCGGCAGGCCUAACACAUGCAAGUCGAACGAAGUCUUCGGACUUAGUGGCAGACGGGUGAGUAACGCGUGGGAACGUACCCUUUGCUACGGAGUAGCUCCGGGAAACUGGAAUUAAUACCGUAUGUGCCCUACGGGGGAAAGAUUUAUCGGCAAAGGAUCGGCCCGCGUUGGAUUAGCUAGUUGGUGGGGUAAUGGCCUACCAAGGCGACGAUCCACAGCUGGUCUGAGAGGAUGAUCAGCCACAUUGGGACUGAGACACGGCCCAAACUCCUACGGGAGGCAGCAGUGGGGAAUAUUGGACAAUGGGCGCAAGCCUGAUCCAGCCAUGCCGCGUGGGUGAUGAAGGCCUUAGGGUUGUAAAGCUCUUUCACCGGAGAAGAUAAUGACGGUAUCCGGAGAAGAAGCCCCGGCUAACUUCGUGCCAGCAGCCGCCGUAAAAC
rnacentral:rRNA from 1 species